UACGGAGGGUGCGAGCGUUGUCCGGAAUCACUGGGCGUAAAGGGCGCGUAGGCGGCUCAUGAAGGCUGUGGUGAAAGUCCGGGGCUCAACCUCGGAUCGGCCGUGGCGACUCGUGGGCUGGAGCACUGUAGAGGCGGGUGGAAUUCCGGGUGUAGCGGUGGAAUGCGUAGAGAUCCGGAAGAACACCAGUGGCGAAGGCGGCUCACUGGCCCGAUACUGACGCUGAGGCACGAAAGCGUGGGGAGCAAACAGG
rnacentral:rRNA from 1 species